rnacentral:tRNA from 3 species
GCGAAGGUGGCGGAAUUGGUAGACACGCUAGCUUCAGGUGUUAGUGUCCUUACGGACGUGGGGGUUCAAGUCCCCCCCCUCGCACCA